rnacentral:lncRNA from 1 species
GCUUUGCUCUGUCUCCCAGGCUGGAGUGCAGGGGUGCCAUCAUAGCUCACUGCAGCUUUGACCUCCUGGACUAAGCUAUCCUCCUGCCUCGGCCUCCUGAGUGGGAAGGACUACAGGCCCCCAAAGGCUCUGCGCAGACCAGCACUGUCUCCUCCUUCAUCCACAGAGAGGAUGAAAGAACAUGGCAAGAGGAAGACUCACAGAACCCCACAGAGAAGCUUUGAGAAUUGGGCUGUCUGGCUCUCCCAUCACCCAUUUGGCCACCAGCUUUGGUCCCAGCUGCUGUGCCCUCGGGGGAUGCAUUAUGGCCCUGAAAGGGGCCCUUGUCCCUUUUUGGGGUGUCAUCCUGGCUGGGUGGUAUGGAUUUCUGCUGUAAACAUGGCCCAUCUGGGAGAAGCCCAGGUGCCACGUUUUGAACAGCUCUGAAACUUAAAGCUCAGAAGGCUUUGAAAUGCAAAUAUUUUGAAGGAAACAUAAGGUUCCUUGAAUUUCUACGUGAAUUUUAGGAUCAGCUUGUCCAUUUCUGCAAAGAAGCCAGCUGAGCUUUUGAUUGGAAUUGCAUUGAAUCUGUAGAUCAAUUUGGAGAGCAUUUGCAUCUUAACAGUAUUAAGUCUUCUCAUCCAUGAACAUAUUAUAUUUUUC